GGGUGGGUCCGGCGCGGCAGAGACCGAUGAACCCCGUCAGGGCCGGAAGGCAGCAGCGGUAAGUCGUAACCUUUGGGUGCCGCCGGGUUGCCUGCCCGGG
rnacentral:SRP_RNA from 1 species